GAUGAACGCUGGCGGCGUGCCUAAUACAUGCAAGUCGAGCGAACAGAUGAGGAGCUUGCUCCUCUGACGUUAGCGGCGGACGGGUGAGUAACACGUGGAUAACCUACCUAUAAGACUGGGAUAACUUCGGGAAACCGGAGCUAAUACCGGAUAAUAUAUUGAACCGCAUGGUUCAAUAGUGAAAGACGGUUUUGCUGUCACUUAUAGAUGGACCCGCGCCGAAUUAGCUAGUUGGUAAGGUAACGGCUUACCAAGGCAACGAUGCGUAGCCGACCUGAGAGGGUGAUCGGCCACACUGGACCUGGGACACGGUCCAGACUCCUACGGGAGGCAGCAGUAGGGAAUCUUCAGCAAUGGGCGAAAGCCUGACGGAGCAACGCCGCGUGAGUGAUGAAGGUCUUCGGAUCGUAAAACUCUGUUAUGAGGGAAGAACAAAUGUGUAAGUAACUAUGCACGUCUUGACGGUACCAAAGAAGAAAGCCACGGCUAACUACGG
rnacentral:rRNA from 1 species